UACGUAGGCAGCGAGCGUUGUUCGGAGUUACUGGGCGUAAAGAGUGCGUAGGCGGUUUUCUAAGUUUGGUGUGAAAUCUCCCGGCUUAACUGGGAGGGUGCGCCGAAAACUGGAAGGCUUGAGUAUGGGAGAGGUAAGCGGAAUUCCUGGUGUAGCGGUGAAAUGCGUAGAUAUCAGGAGGAACACCUGCGGUGUAGACGGCUUACUGGACCAUAACUGACGCUGAGGCACGAAAGCGUGGGGAGCGAACAGG
rnacentral:rRNA from 1 species